rnacentral:rRNA from 1 species
AGCGAACGCUGGCGGCAGGCUUAACACAUGCAAGUCGAACGGGCGUAGCAAUACGUCAGUGGCAGACGGGUGAGUAACGCGUGGGAACGUACCUUUUGGUUCGGAACAACCCAGGGAAACUUGGGCUAAUACCGGAUAAGCCCUUACGGGGAAAGAUUUAUCGCCGAAAGAUCGGCCCGCGUCUGAUUAGCUAGUUGGUGAGGUAACGGCUCACCAAGGCGACGAUCAGUAGCUGGUCUGAGAGGAUGAUCAGCCACAUUGGGACUGAGACACGGCCCAAACUCCUACGGGAGGCAGCAGUGGGAAUAUUGGACAAUGGGCGCAAGCCUGAUCCAGCCAUGCCGCGUGAGUGAUGAAGGCCCUAGGGUUGUAAAGCUCUUUUGUGCGGGAAGAUAAUGACGGUACCGCAAGAAUAAGCCCCGGCUAACUUCGUGCCAGCAGCCGCUGUAAG